UGGUGGAAUGAUUUGUCUGGUUAAUUCCGUUAACGAACGAGACCUCAGCCUGCUAACUAGUUUUACUAAUCUUUGAUUGGUGUAGACUUCUUAGAGGGACUAUUAAUGAUUAACCAGUGGAAGUUUGAGGCAAUAACA
rnacentral:rRNA from 1 species